CUACGGGGGGCAGCAGGCGCGAAACCUUUACAAUGCACGCAAGUGUGAUAAGGGAAUUCCCCGUGCUCAUGCAUUGCAUGGGCUUUUACUUAGUGUAAAUAGCUUUGUGAAUAAGUGGUGGGUAAGACUGGUGCCAGCCGCCGCGGUAACACCAGCGCCACGAGUGGUGACCACGUUUAUUGGGCCUAAAGCGUCCGUAGCCGGUUUGGUAAGUCUUUUGUGAAAUUGUUGGGCUUAACCCAACAGCGUGCAAGAGAUACUGCUAGACUUGAGACCGGGAGGAGUCAGAAGUAUUCCAGGGGGAGCGGUAAAAUGUUAUAAUCCCUGGAGGACUACCUGUGGCGAAGGCGUCUGACCAGAACGGAUCUGACGGUGAGGGACGAAAGCCAGGGGAGCGAACCGGAUUAGAUACCCCAGUAGUC
rnacentral:rRNA from 1 species